rnacentral:rRNA from 1 species
UACGUAGGUGGCGAGCGUUGUCCGGAUUUACUGGGCGUAAAGAGCGCGCAGGCGGUCGUGCAAGUCGCGUGUGAAAGCCCCCGGCUCAACUGGGGAGGGUCACGCGAUACUGCUCGACUUGAAGGCAGGAGAGGGAAGUGGAAUGCUUGGUGUAGAGGUGAAAUUCGUAGAUAUCAAGCGGAACACCGGUGGCGAAGGCGGCCUUCUGGACAGUGACUGACGCUGAGACGCGAAAGCGUGGGGAGCAAACAGG